rnacentral:misc_RNA from 1 species
UACGGAGGGUGCAAGCAUUAAUCGGAAUUAUUGGGCGUAAAGGGCGCGUAGGCCGAAAGGAAAGUCAGAUGUGAAAUCCCGGGGCUCAACCCCGGAACAGCAUAUGAAACUCCCAUUCUAGAGGAUAGGCGGAGAAAAUGGAAUUCCACAAGUAGCGGUGAAAUGCGUAGAUAUGUGGAAGAACACCAGUGGCGAAGGCGAUUUUCUAGCUUAUACCUGACGCUGAGGCGCGAAAGCAAGGGGAUCAAACAGG